rnacentral:rRNA from 1 species
CACCGGCGGCUCGAGUGGUGGCCACUUUUAUUGGGUCUAAAGCGUCCGUAGCCGGCUUGGCAAGUCCCCUGGGAAAUCUGGCGGCUUAACCGUCAGGCGUCCAGAGGAUACUGCCAGGCUUGGGACCGGGAGAGGUGAGAGGUACCUCAGGGGUAGGGGUGAAAUCUUGUGAUCCCUGAGGGACCACCAGUGGCGAAGGCGCUCGGCUGGAACGGGUCCGACGGUGAGGGACGAAGGCCAUGGGAGCGAACCGG